rnacentral:misc_RNA from 1 species
UGGAAAGAGAGCUGAGAAAAUAAGGAUAUCGAGACAAAGGGAUAGAAGGAAGAGCUUUUAAAUUUAAAAUCUUGUUCAGGUUUUCUGAGUAGGUUAAGAGCAUUUAGAUGAUUAAUAGCUUGUUGUAAUAGCCCUUUUCUAUCCUCUGCUCGAAAAUUUCCCUACCAAUAAUGGGGAAGAAAGAAUCAGAUGGAGGAAAAGGAAAUGAUAAAUAGAAGAAGGUUAGCUAGUUUGGCAUUGAAUUUCACUGUAAAAAAACACUCUAAAAAAAAUCAUUUUAAAUGUUG